rnacentral:rRNA from 1 species
CAGCAGUAGCCACGGGAAUACGUAGGUGGCAAGCGUUGUCCGGAAUUAUUGGGCGUAAAGGGCUCGCAGGCGGUUUCUUAAGUCUGAUGUGAAAGCCCCCGGCUCAACCGGGGAGGGUCAUUGGAAGCUGGGAAACUUGAGUGCAGAAGAGGAGAGUGGAAUUCCACGUGUAGCGGUGAAAUGCGUAGAGAUGUGGAGGAACACCAGUGGCGAAGGCGACUCUCUGGUCUGUAACUGACGCUGAGGAGCGAAAGCGUGGGGAGCGAACAGGAUUAGAUACCCCGGUAGUCCCUGUCUCUUAUAC